ensembl:lncRNA
AGCCCAGCCAGGGCUGCACCCAAAUGAACCAAAAUGGUCCCAAAAAUGGAUGAUUGGUCACAAAAUGAUCAGUUCUGCUCCAUUGGCACCUUGCAGUUCAUUGUCCCAUUCCAGCUUUAGCCCAGGCAGUCCCACCCUGCUUGUUUUUCUCUCUCCAGCCCACGGUGUUUGUGCUCCUGGGCUGAGAUUUGGAUCAUUUGGGUGCCCAGCUGGAGCAGGAAUUGUUUUGUCUCCCUGCUCACCAACACUUCAUGUGAAGCUCAGAGCUGCACACUAAAGCAGCACAGAGGCUGAAAAAUAGAAAAGCUAAACCAGAGGCAUCAAUAUUCGAGUGCUUUUGUGAAGAGGGGAGUGUGGUUCAUCCAUGAGAAAGUCCUUCAAACCAGGAAUACUUGUUGGGAAACCUGUCCUGGAGUGAAGAGGGGAGUGAGGCCCUCACUGGGCAUGGCUUGUGUGGUUGUGUCUGGCAUCUCUGGAUCUGAUUUCUCACCCCAGACAGGUCCUUUUGCUUUUCUAGGCAUCUGAGGGAGAGUAAGGAAGGGCUCUGUGGUGACUUUCCAGUUCUUAAAAGGGCUUCAGAAGAGCUGGAGAGCAACUGAGGACAAGGGAUGGAGGAACAGGAGCCAGGGAAUGGCUCCCACUGCCAGAGGGCAGGGAUGGGUGGGAUAUUGGGAAGGAAUUCCUGGCUGUGAAGAUGGUCAGGCCCUGGCACAGGUGACCAGAGCAGCUGUGGCAGCCCCUGGAUCCCUGGCAGUGCCCAAGGCCAGGCUGGAUGGGGCUUGGAGCAGCCUGGGACAGUGGGAGGUGUCCCUGCCAUGGCAGGAGUGGCACUGGAGAAGCUUCCAAGCCAUCCCCUGUGGGACUGUGUGCCCAGUGCCUGUUCCCAGCCUUCCUGCAGCUCCCAGGCUAUCACCUUUCACAGACCCUGCUCACAGCUCCCUGAUCUUGUUUCAGAGCCUGGGACUGACAGUGAGCUCAGCACAGCAGCUUGAAAACUGUUUCCAUAUUAAUGACCCAUAACAGUAACAAAGUGCAUUUUAUAUAAAAUUACUCCUACCUCUCGAUCUUGGAAAUCUUUUCCAACUUUAACCAUUCUGUGAUCUGGACUGAGCUGUUUUCUGUGUUUUAUACAUACUAAAUCCUGCCUAACUGUAUUUUUGCUUCUUGUUGUUGCAGUCCAUUAUUCCUUGUGCACCUCCCUCAGCUGUGCUUGUGCUUCAGCCUUUUCUUGCUCUUCUUGCAGAAAGGAAAAACGAUGCCAGUUGGGAAAAGUUUGUGCAAGGCAUUUGUGUGGAAAUGAUCUCCCAACCAGGGAGCUGAGGAGCACAGCCCAGUGUCCUCCUGCUCUGGCUCUGUGGCAUAAAUUUGAUUUAGAAAGUGCCACGUUUGUAGCUGCACUCCUGAUGUGUCUCGCUUUGUAUCCCCUAAAUUACUGAUACACACAAUGUGGCAGGUUUUAAACAGAGAUUCUUUCAGAGGAUGAAACAAUUGUUAAGGUAGGGCUUGUGCUGUCCCAAAUAAAUAGUUACACACUGAAUUCUGAGGGAGAGAAAGUGGCAUUGCUGUGUAUUCAGAUCCUGCACUCCAGGCAUGGAGUGACAGAAUUCCAGCACGGUCUGUCCUCUCCCACUGUGGAAAAAUUCUGGAGGAAGAGCUAAAACCAUAAGUGAUUUUUGGGUUCAGGUCAGGGGGAUUACAUUGCUGGCUGGAAGGAAAGAAGGGUCUGGCUUCCUCCUCUGUGAUCAAUCCCUAAAUCCAGAAGGAUGUAAGAAGCUGGAAGCAGUUUAGCCCCUCAGCCUGGGAAGUGGACUUGAAAAGUGGGAUGAAGGGAAGGAGAGUUUGCAAGGAUUACAGCAUCUUCCUUCCCUGUUGGAAUAGCAGGGCUGUGCUCCUUGGAGUAAAUUCUAGCUUAGAUUCAAGUGCAUGGAAUACUUAUGUGUACAAUAAUGGGAAAUAUUCACUGAAAAGGGAGGGAAAAAACCCAAACCACAAUGCAAAAGGUUUGUUGGACUGGCACAAUGGUAAAUGAUUUGUUUAGGUGGAAAUAGGAAUUUAUAAAAUAUGAAUCUAGGAUUGAACGGUGUGCUCUAGCAGUGAACUAAAUGUGAUUUAGUGAUGAUAAAAAGGUAAUUUUAAAGCAGAUAGAUUGAGGAUUGUCCAGCUGGAAUUGCUGAAUCCUGGAGUCUUGAUUCUUCAUGGCAGAGCUGAAAAAGCAUUUCAGUUACAGAAUCACAAACACAUCUCUGUAAUGACUGAAUUUUACUGUUCCAUUCCCAAAUUUCAGUGCUCCAUUCCCGAAUUUCAGUGUUCUAUUCCUGAAUUUCAGUGUUCCACUCCUGAAUUUCAGUGUUGUAUUCCUGAAUUUCAGUUGUUCUAUUCCUGAAUUUCACUGUUCCACUCCUGAAUUUCAGUGUUCUAUUCCUGAAUUUCACUGUUCCAUUCCUGCAAAGACCUCUCAUUCCAAUUCCUGACCAUUCUGCUUUGCAGAUAUUUAGGUAACUCUGCAUCAAGUUUUGCAAGAUGAGCUCUAGGACAGAGAUUCCAAACCAGUUAAAUUUCUUCUAACCUGUCCUUGAACUCAUCUAGAAACACUGUCAGUGCUGAAGCCAUCCCUGUUGUUCAUUUCCAUGAUUCUGUAGCUCCCAUAAAAGAUAAAAAAUAAAGAUUUUGGAGAAGUAUUGAAGGUGUUUCUGAUGAGGUUUUCUUGUGAAGGUCUAGAGAAAAUAAACAUGAAUUCUUCUAUCAAUAGAUCUCGCCAUAACAUCUGCACCUUGAUGAUUUAAGUUUGAUAAAUUACUAAAUACAGGGUUUGGCCAACAAAAGUGGUGGGACAACCUGUGGCACAUCUGGAUUUGUCCAAAUAUAUCUGAAGUUUGUCCUUGUCCACAGCAGCUCAAGGCCCGGCAGUAGAAGAGUAGAAGAAACCAGAAUAUUUCUGAAAGCUCAGAAGGCUGAGUUGAUGCUUUCAAGACUAGAAAGUAAAUAAUACAAUAAAUCAAAAACCUCAUCUGUGCUUCUAAAGAAAAUGCACUAAAAUAGCUGAAAACCUACAACACCUUCAAGGCACCCUUUGAAAAUUUGGAAAACUUGUAUUUUAUCUCCGUUUCACUCAAAGGUGUGGUUUUAGAUGCAGAGGUUGGUGAUCUCCAGGGCCUGGAUGCUUUUUCCUUUUGACAUUUCCUAGGCAGCUAAAAAAAGGGGAGGACCUGCUGGCUGCCUCAUUAGGGUGAUUUAAUUUUUUAACAGCUUUCAGUAGGUGUCACAUAUGGUACCUCUGGAUUCUGACAGGAGUGCAAGAUUGAAGGCCUUUGGCUUUGCAGGAACCAAACUGUUUCAGUGGUUCAGCUCCAGGGAUUUGAGGGGUGGGAGCAGAGCUUUCCUCAUGUCCCUUAACUCCCUUGGGGUCACCCUGAGCUGUGCUGCUGCCUGGUGGCUCCCCAGGAGGUUUCCCUUCAGUGGGAAGUUCUGUGUGGAUAUUUGGGAGCAGGACACCAACGUGUGCCUUCACCAUGGCCACUGGCAGGGUGUGGGCAGUGAUUCCCUGAGCUUCACAUCCCAGCUUGGCAUGGGUCAUGGAAUGGGUUGGGUUGGAAAGGACAUUAAAUCAUCCCAAUCCACGGGGCAGGGACAUCUCCCGCUCUCCCAGGGUGCUCCAAACCCUUCCAGGCUUGGACAUUUCCAGGGAUCCAGGGACAGCCACAGCUUCUCUGGGAAUUCCAUCAGCCCCUCCCUAUUGGAAAUGCAGGAGAACCCAAUGGGCAGAAAUGUCAAUAUCUGACUCAAUACAGAAAGCUGAAUGAUUUCUCUAUUAUAACUAUGCUAAAAUACAUUAAUAAACUAUAUAAAAGGAGAAUACUAAAACUACAUACUACUUUCUCUGACUCUAACCCAACUGGUGACCCUCUCUCUGUCCAGCCCCAGGUGGGUUGGAUUGGCCAUCAGCUCAAACAAUCCUCACCAGAAUCCAACCAAGCAUCACCCCAGGGAAACAAUUCCCCAAACACAUUCCACAUGGGAAAAACAAGGAGCAGAAAUAGAAAUUGUUUUCUCUUUCAUUUCUCUCUGUGCACCUCCAUGAAAAAUCCUGAGAGGGAGAGAAAUGUGCUGCCACACCUCCCCACCCUGCCAGGGAAGAUGCCAAGGUGAUUUUCCAGGAGGAGUCCCCCUGAGGGAAUCAGUCUGGGAAAACUCAUUAGGUGGUUAAAAGCACUAGGAUUUGCUGUGUUCCAGAGAACACUUCCAGAAGGAAGUUUAGGAGCUGAUAACUUCCCAAUUAACAUUCCAGAAAAGCUCUCUGGCAUCUCUGGGAAUGCACCUGAGCAGAAAAACUACUUUUUACCUAAAAAAAAUAAAGAAUAUGUUAAAUUGUAUUGAUGUUAAACCAAAAGCUACCAAAAAUAAAUGGGAUGCUUGUUCCUUUUUGUCCCUUCCAAAGAACAAAAGCUAAGCCCAGAGUUAAGUUCUGUCCCUGGCACUUUAUUAAAUUUAAAAAGAGGAAAGAAGACAUGUUGGCCCUGUUAGACUUUCCAGUGGUUUGAGAAAGAAAAAGUCACUUAUUAAUGGAAAGAGAAAAUGAGCCUUGCUUUGAGUGCUGGAAGCCCAACAGUUAAAAACAUGAGAAAUCUUUUACUAUUGCAAAUCCUGCUCAGUUAAAGGGAAGGUGGCAAUUCCAAAUCAUCUGUCCCAGGAAAUCAGCACUGGUUUGAAAUGUGUACAAACUGAAAACAGUCUAUGCCAGAACUC